UGGAGACAAAUCAAUAAAUUGAGCAGGAGCAGUGCACAGAGAGCAGAUGGUCCUCACCCAGUGCUUGCAGGGGAAUGAAAAUGUGAAAUCAUGAAAUCACCAGGCUGCUGCUGUGGGACAGCACUCGGAUCUGCCUGGGUGCAGGGAGGAAUUCUCAGCCCAGCCUUUGUGCCAGCGUGCAGCUGAAUCCAAAUCUGACUCAGUACAGCAGAAAAUAAAUUCAGGUGCUCAGAGGGAUGCACAAACAGAACUUCUAUGACUUCACAAAAAAAGUGAAAUCUGGCGCUUGGCAGAGGCAGAAGGAAACAUCUGGAUGCUUUUGAUCAAAGAUGUUUAAGGAAAAUGAGCCUGCAGAGCAUCAAGAAUGGCACAGUUUGAGGAAGAGAAAGGAAGAAUGAAACUCUCCUCAGCAGAAGUUGGGAUGUGAUUUCUGCAGUUUCCUGAGCGCACAGAAGAGUGGAGAGGACCUUCUUUGCCCAUUUGCUAGAGAACAGUUGAUAUUACAUUUGACAAUCCUGUAAUCCCAUUUAUAUCCAGCUUGCUGCUGGCCACCUGUGAGCAAUUUUAUUCUGUGGCUUUUUGUUUUCAUCUUGAGAGCACUCAUUUGUCUGUGCAAGAUGAUUCCCUUGGACUGCCUCAGGAUCUUGGGCCCACCACAACAGCUGGGUGCUUAAUUCAGACACUUGGAGUUACUGCAUCCUGAUUUUUGGUGGGAGUUUCAGUCUGUGGGAUGAAUCCUGCGCUCAGAAAAUUGCUUUUCAUGCUGUGCUGUUUGCUGCCGUUGUCCUGUGAAGGUGAAGUUGUGUCCCAGUGCAUGCAAAAUGAAAAGUAAAGGAACCUGACUGGCUGACUGCUCUUUUGGACAGCAAAAUGAAACAGUCCUUAGCUGCUGGUAAUGGUAGCAGCAGUGUUUUCUUGAUUUCAUAAUCCAGACAAAAUGAUUUUGGUGUUUAAAUUCCAUUUUAAGGGGUUUGGGAGGGGAUGUUGUCUCCUGUAACAUGGUCCUGCUCCUGUGAUCUCCAGCUCAGGUAUUUACAUUUUUCCCCUUUUUCAGUGAAUUUCCCAGGCUCUGCAGUGCCAAGGGAUGCUGGGGGGGCUCUGCUUUGGAUAUUUUGCAUCAGAUCCCAACAUUUCAGUGCUUCUGGAGGGCUGAGGUGUUUGUAGGGGCAGGGAUGUAGGGAGGUGCUGAGAUACCACUGCAGGCUCCACUGAAUAUCAGCUUUAUCAGCUCCUCUGACUUACCUGGUGCCCUGCUGGCCAAAAAUAUUCUUAUUUGGAUGUACAUUUUUGGAUUUUUUUUUUUAAUGGAUUUUUUUCCAAAACCUCUGUCGAGGUUCUGUUCUGUGAGGUGUGGGUGACAUUUGCUUUCUGAAAGCUGAGAUUUGUGGCCACUGUGUAAUACUGAAUUCUCUGUGUCUGACCUGGCCAUGUGCACAAAUUCUCUUUUCUCUGUGACUGUGCAUGUGUGUAUAACAGAAAUAGGGGAGGUUGCAGAGUAAGGCUUUUGUAAGAGUUUUAUAUUCAGAUUUAAUAGCUGGAGUGUAGUGAGGUUUUGAGCCAAUUGAUGAAAUUAAACUUUAAAGGUUCUAUUUGAGCAGAAAAAUAAAUUUUUCUCUCUUACUCCAUGCACUGUUGAAGUGUUGAUAUUGUGUUUAUGUCCAGGUAUUACCUAAGGCAGAGGUGAAAAGCUGUGCUUGGAUUUUCCUGGAAUGAGAUUAUGUUUAGGAGUGCUUAAUUAAUGACAGAAGGGGAAUUUACAUGUGCACUUCUUUAGAUCAGUGAUGCACAUUUUCAUGGUGUAUUUUGAGAGUUGAGAUGGAAGUUGAGACUCUGUUUUGUGAAAAGAAAAUGAAAUAAAAGGCAGGAACGUGACCUGAAUUAAAUAAGUCUAUUCUUAUCUUGAAUGAUAAAAAGAACA